CAGCAGCCGCGGUAAUACAGAGGGUGCGAGCGUUAAUCGGAUUUACUGGGCGUAAAGCGUGCGUAGGCGGCUUCUUAAGUCGGAUGUGAAAUCCCUGAGCUUAACUUAGGAAUUGCAUUCGAUACUGGGAAGCUAGAGUAUGGGAGAGGAUGGUAGAAUUCCAGGUGUAGCGGUGAAAUGCGUAGAGAUCUGGAGGAAUACCGCUGGCGAAGGCAGCCAUCUGGCCUAAUACUGACGCUGAGGUACGAAAGCAUGGGGAGCAAACAGGAUUAGAUACCCCUGUAGUCCCUGUCUUUAUAAC
rnacentral:rRNA from 1 species